GACGAACGCUGGCGGCGUGCUUAACACAUGCAAGUCGAACGGUGAAGGGACUGGUUUUGCUGGUCCUGGAUGAGUGGCGAACGGGUGAGUAACACGUGAGUAACCUGCCCCCUUCUUCUGGAUAACCGCAUGAAAGUGUGGCUAAUACGGGAUAUUCUGGGUCUGUCGCAUGGUGGGCCUGGGAAAGAUUGCGCCUUUUUUGGUGUUUUUGGUGGGGGAUGGGCUCGCGGCCUAUCAGCUUGUUGGUGGGGUGAUGGCCUACCAAGGCGGUGACGGGUAGCCGGCCUGAGAGGGUGGACGGUCACACUGGGACUGAGACACGGCCCAGACUCCGACGGGAGGCAGCAGUGGGGAAUAUUGCACAAUGGGCGCAAGCCUGAUGCAGCGACGCCGCGUGAGGGAUGGAGGCCUUCGGGUUGUGAACCUCUUUCGCCAGUGAAGCAGGCCUGCCUCUUUUUGUGGGUGGGUUGACGGUAGCUGGAUAAGAAGCGCCGGCUAACUACGUG
rnacentral:rRNA from 1 species